GAUGAACGCUGGCGGCGUGCCUAAUACAUGCAAGUCGAGCGAACAGACGAGGAGCUUGCUCCUCUGACGUUAGCGGCGGACGGGUGAGUAACACGUGGAUAACCUACCUAUAAGACUGGGAUAACUUCGGGAAACCGGAGCUAAUACCGGAUAAUAUAUUGAACCGCAUGGUUCAAUAGUGAAAGACGGUUUUGCUCUCACUUAUAGAUGGAUCCGCGCCGCAUUAGCUAGUUGGUAAGGUAACGGCUUACCAAGGCAACGAUGCGUAGCCGACCUGAGAGGGUGAUCGGCCACACUGGAACUGAGACACGGUCCAGACUCCUACGGGAGGCAGCAGUAGGGAAUCUUCCGCAAAGGGCGAAAGCCUGACGGAGCAACGCCGCGUGAGUGAUGAAGGUCUUCGGAUCGUAAAACUCUGUUAUUAGGGAAGAACAAAUGUGUAAGUAACUAUGCACGUCUUGACGGUACCUAAUCAGAAAGCCACGGCUAACUACGUG
rnacentral:rRNA from 1 species